AAGCUUAACCUGCCUCACUUCAAAGGAGGCCCCAACCCCUUAUUAACUAAAGCCUGGAUCUUGUAGAUAGAGAAACUUUUCUUCGUCUUAGACCUAAUCGAUGAACAAAAAGUCUCUCUAGUAGCCUUUAUGUUAACCGGUAAAGUCGAACACUGGUGGCAACUCAAAAAGGAAGUCCUACCUACCCAUACCACUUGGAAAGUUUUCUUGGACGCAUUCUUUGAUAACUUUUUUUCGGUUUAUGUCUGAGAAAAGAAGGAGGAGGAAUUUCAAGACCUCCAUAGGAAAACUCGACGGUUGCCCAAUAUGCAGCCUGAUUCGUCCAGUUUUCUAGGUUUGCCCCACUAAUGGUCAC
rnacentral:lncRNA from 1 species